rnacentral:rRNA from 1 species
AGAGUUUGAUCAUGGCUCAGGAUGAACGCUAGCGGCAGGCUUAACACAUGCAAGUCGAGGGGCAUCAUUGGAGUAGCAAUACUUCAGAUGGCGACCGGCGCACGGGUGCGUAACGCGUAUGCAACCUACCUUUAACAGGGGGAUAACACUGAGAAAUCGG